rnacentral:lncRNA from 1 species
GUUAGAAUGAGUUAUGGUUUUGGUAAGUGUCCUCCUGGCAUCUAGAAACUGACUAAUCCAAAUACUAAAAAAUGUUUAUAGAGGCAGCCUUCAUUGCACUUUUUAAUUCAAAAGCAAGUGGCAUAGAAGUCAACCAGAAAGACAACAAUCAUUAUUACUUCAACAGCUUUUGUAUUCUCUUACCCACCAAAUUUCCUAACCAGACGAAACUAGAAAUAUAACCUGGAAAGGAAUCCCUUUCUAAAUCAAAUUACAUGAAGAAUUUAAUUCACUAUGCUUUUUGGUAAAUAGGUUGGAAUAGUUGCCUCAAGCUGUCACUCCUUGAAAAUGUACGUGUCCUAGACAAGGUUGCUGAUGUCACGGUUAGGAGUUCACUUCCUGGGAGAGGUUUACAAUUGAAGCUGAGGUGUAUCUGAUUCAGCCCUUAGGCAGAAAAACUGGAUGAAGCAGUUUUUCCCCUUUCUCUUUUACAGACUGUGUGAUUUGUGCAACAGCUUUGGCUUGGCAAAUAGGGAAGUGUCAGAGCUAAAUCAGCUUUACUCUAAGGGCAUGGUGUGCCUGUGUUUCUCAGCUCACUGAUACCUAAAUCCAGGACCAUUUUACUUCAAGUGGAAUACACACACAGAGCAAACAUUCUCAAGGUCAGGUAUACCUGUUCUUUGUAUUCCACAGCAAGAACCAUUUUCCUUGUUCAGAAACAGGCAAAGAACUCAUUUGUGCUUCAGAACAGUAAACUCCAUGAAAAAAAUACGUUCAAAGAACCACUUUUUAAAAAGAAGAUGUUAUGCAAUCAGUAUUUUUGGGAUUAUCAAAUAUGUGAGAGCUAGGGGGAGGGUGGUAGCCCUGGUUUACCUUCAUGAGUGCAUGAUUGGCAAUCUGUUAUGCUUGUGGGAUGGCCAGAUAUCUAAGACAUACGGAAGGGAACAAUUGAAGCAAAUAACUAUAUAAUUCAAGCAAUAUUCUCUGACUUUUCUUCAAUUACUUACAGUAUUUCAAGCAGCAAUAGAGGUGGGGCCUGAGUUAUUUGGGCUAUUUCUUCCUUUUCUAUUUUCUUUCGGUGGAAUAAGUAAAAGUAAGUGAUGUGCUUUGUGUGUGUGUGUGUGUGUGUGUGUGUGUGUGUGUGUGUGUGUGUGUUACUGUUAUUGUUAUAUUUUGCAGUCAGACAGAGCUUUUUUUUUUGAGUAAACAAGAUUCAGCAACUUAAAGAGGACCUGAGUUGUCCAAAUGCCUGUUUUGGAAUGGGGAAGUGUGGAUUUUUCCUUUUCACUAUAUCUUAUGCUAUUAGAGACAGAUGCACGAUUAUGGAUGGCUGUGUUGUAUACCUGCACAGGCUCAGGAAACAGCCCUGGGUUCCCCUCAACUUCUUAGUCAUGAAUGAUGCCCUAUUGUUUCCUUUCAGGUUUUGCCUCUUCACAUCUCUUACCUUUUUCCCCCUUAGUUUUAUGUAAAUCAUGUGGAUAAUGGAAUGAAAUGGUUUCCAUGGAGCUGAACAAAUAUAGGUCAUAUUAUAAGGGACUCUUCCUCUCUUGAUGUACACAGUUUCAGAGACUGGGAAGUCCAAAAUCAAGACACCGGCAGAUUCUGUGUCUUGGAUGGCCUGCUUUCUGGUUCAAAGACUACUGCCUUUUCACUAGAGAAGAGGAGACAGAGUACUCUGAGACAUCUUUUAUUAGGGCACUAAUUCCAUUCACAAGAUUUCUGCCCUUGUAAGCUAAUCACCUUCCAAGAUGCCCCACUUCUUAAUACUAUCACCUUGCGAGCUAGGAUUUUAGUGUAUGCAUUUUCUGGUGACACAAACAUUCAGACCAUUGCAGUGGCCAUGAGAAAUGAACUUGCAGACCUCCAGCUACAGGAAGCAUGAGUGAACAACAGCACUGGCUUCUGAGAUCUGAAAUCCACCAAUACAUAGGCAAUGAGGCUGUGUGUAGGCUGCUCCCAGCCAGUGAAUGACUGGGUGCAAGAGGGAUACUAGGGCAGGUUCAUUCCUGGAACACAGCCUCUCAGUGUGGUCACUUUGGCUCAAAGACACCUUGACAGCCUUUUUGAACCUUCCUUAUACUUCACGGCAGUCUAGGACACUUUCACCCCACCUUCCUUCUCUUUUACUUGGAGACUACAGACUUGCAUUGUGAUCUGAAGGCUCCCUCUUCAUGUUCUGUCACAAGUAAUUCUCCCAAUAAAAUCCUUGCUUCUUGGUGUCUGCUUCUUGGAGAACCUACACUAACACAUAUGUUCCUUAAUGAUAGUUGUUUUAAAAGUAUGUUUAUUACUGAUUAUGUGCAAAGCACUCUCUUGACUUAGUGCAUGAUGCAAAGCUGAAUUAAACAUAUUUUAUUAUUCCAAAUAAGUGAGAGCCUCCUACUCAUGAGCGGUGUCAUAAGGCUAAAAGAGAUAAUAUUGAAAACUUUUGCCCCUUGGAAGAGAGAUGCCGUAAAAAUUAAUGAUGGACAAAAUAAAAUUAAAGGGCAUCUUUUAAAAUAGUGUCAUUUAGAAAUGUGGCACCAGUGCAUUUCUAUUCUGUAAUGUAACUUUGCUCUAGCAUAAUUCCUCAGGCAGGUGUUUGAGAAUAAAAUACGCAAAGAAGGGUUUACAACAUGGGCUUAAUGUAGUCUGAAAUAUGCUAUGUAUUUUGGUAAUCAUAGGUCUA